GUUAAACGAGAAGACUUCAGAUAUGAUCCAGAGUACCACGGGACACGUGAAACCCUGUGGGAAGCAGGAGGGACCACCCUCCAAGGCUAAAUACUACCUAGUGACCGAUAGCGUAUAGUACCGUGAGGGAAAGGUGAAAAGAACCCCGGGAGGGGAGUGAAAUAGAACCUGAAACCCUGCACUUACAAGCUGUGGAAGCACAUUUCUUGUGUGACCGCGUACUUUUUGUAGAACGGGCCAACGAGUUACGUUA
rnacentral:rRNA from 1 species